UGAACGCUGGCGGUAGGCCUAACACAUGCAAGUCGAACGGCAGCACAGUAAGAGCUUGCUCUUACGGGUGGCGAGUGGCGGACAGGUGAGGAAUACAUCGGAAUCUACUUUUUCGUGGGGGAUAACGUAGGGAAACUUACGCUAAUACCGCAUAUGACCUACGGGUGAAAGCAGGGGAUCUUCGGACCUUGCGCGAUUGAAUGAGCCGAUGUCGGAUUAGCUAGUUGGCGGGGUAAAGGCCCACCAAGGCGACGAUCCGUAGCUGGUCUGAGAGGAUGAUCAGCCACACUGGAACUGAGACACGGUCCAGACUCCUACGGGAGGCAGCAGUGGGGAAUAUUGGACAAUGGGCGCAAGCCUGAUCCAGCCAUACCGCGUGGGUGAAGAAGGCCUUCGGGUUGUAAAGCCCUUUUGUUGGGAAAGAAAAGCAGCAGGUUAAUACCCCGCUGUUCUGACGGUACCCAAAGAAUAAGCACCGGCUAACUUCGUG
rnacentral:rRNA from 1 species